ensembl:ncRNA lncRNA:CR44551 long non-coding RNA:CR44551
AGCGCAAAAAGGCGAGCUAUUGUCGUCUAAUACCGCAGCGACAGCCCGGCAUCCCGGCAACCUCAUGGUGGCGCUGGCCCAGCAGACGGAUCCCCGAACUCCGAACUACGUAGCGCGCGAUGCCAGGACUCUGAAACCCCCAAACCAAAACCCAGUCCAACCAAAGCGUAACUCCGGUCCCAAGCUCCCGGCGGACCGCACCCCAUGCAUCACAUCACAUCACUUCCGCUGCCUGCUGGCACUGCCGCUGGAGGCAAACACUGAGAAAAAUUACUGCCUUAUUACCAUCUUAAUUGUGGGAUAUUAUACCAAUUACUGAUCAAGACAACUUUUGAAAAGAAAUUGAUUCUACUUUUUGAUGCACACAAAGGAUGUCUCCAUUUAUUUGUU